GGCCCACUCCUUGCUUUAUCAACCACACAGGUAGCCAACGGCGGUUGCCCCCCUCACGACAAAGACGUCGC
rnacentral:ncRNA from 1 species